AAUCUUCCACAAUGGACGAAAGUCUGAUGUAGCAACGCCGCGUGAGCGAAGAAGGUUAUCGGAUCGUAAAGCUCUGUUUCGAGGGAAGAACAAGUACGGGAGUAACUGCCCGUACCUUGACGGUACCUCUUCAGAAAGCCACGGCUAACUACGUGCUAGAAGCCGCGGUAAGACGUAGGUGGCAAGCGUUGGCCGGAAUUAUUGGGCGUAAAGCGAGCGAAGGCAGUCCUUUAAGUCUGAUGUGAAAGCCCACGGCUCAACCGUGGAGGGUCAUUGGAAACUGGAGGACUUGAGUACAGAAGAGGAAAGCGGAAUUCCACGUGUAGCGGUGAAAAGCGUAGAGAUGUGGAGGAACACCAGUGGCGAAGGCGGCUUUCUGGUCUGUAACUGACGCUGAGGCGCGAAAGCGUGGGGAGCAAACA
rnacentral:rRNA from 1 species